rnacentral:rRNA from 1 species
UACGUAGGGUGCGAGCGUUAAUCGGAAUUACUGGGCGUAAAGCGUGCGCAGGCGGUUUUGUAAGUCAGAUGUGAAAUCCCCGAGCUCAACCUGGGAACUGCGUUUGAAACUACAAGGCUAGAGUGUAGCAGAGGGGGGUAGAAUUCCACGUGUAGCAGUGAAAUGCGUAGAGAUGUGGAGGAAUACCAAUGGCGAAGGCAGCCCCCUGGGUUAACACUGACGCUCAUGCACGAAAGCGUGGGGAGCAAACAGG